GGUGAGUAACACGUGAGCAACCUGCCGGGAAGCCCGGGAUAGCCCUCCGAAAGGAGGAUUAAUACCGGAUGUGGCCACCCUGCGAUUGCGGGGGAAGCUAAAGGAUUUAUUCACUUCCCGAGGGGCUCGCGGCCCAUCAGCUUGUUGGUGAGGGUAACGGCCCACCAAGGCGACAACGGGUAGCUGGUCUGAGAGGAUGGUCAGCCACACUGGAACUGAGACACGGUCCAGACACCUACGGGUGGCAGCAGUCGAGAAUCAUUCGCAAUGGGGGAAACCCUGACGAUGCGACGCCGCGUGGAGGAUGAAGGCCUUAGGGUUGUAAACUCCUGUCAAGAGGGAAUAAGCAAGUGAAGGUACCUCUAGAGGAAGGGGCGGCUAAUUCCGUGCCAGCAGCCGCGGUAACACGGAAGCCCCGAGCGUUGUUCGGAUUCAUUGGGCGUAAAGGGUGCGUAGGCGGCGCGGAAAGUCCGGCGUGAAAGGCAGGGGCUCAACCUCUGGACUGCGUUGGAUACUUCCGUGCUUGAGGACUGGAGGGGAGACUGGAAUUCACGGUGUAGCAGUGAAAUGCGUAGAUAUCGUGAGGAAGACCGGUGGCGAAGGCGAGUCUCUGGACAGAUCCUGACGCUGAGGCACGAAGGCUGGGGGAGCGAACAGGAUUAGAUACCCUGGUAGUCCCAGCAGUAAACGAUGUGAGCUUGAUGUGGGGGGAUUCGACCCCUUCCGUGUCGAAGCUAACGCGAUAAGCUCACCGCCUGAGGAGCACGGCCGCAAGGCUAAAACUCAAAGAAAUUGACGGGGACCCGCACAAGCGGUGGAGUAUGUGGCUUAAUUCGAUGCAACGCGAAGAACCUUACCUGGCCUUGACAUGCAUUGUGUCGUCGGUGAAAGCCGGCUAGUCCUGGAAACAGGACGCUUUGCACAGGUGCUGCAUGGCUGUCGUCAGCUCGUGUCGUGAGAUGUUGGGUUAAGUCUCG
rnacentral:rRNA from 1 species